rfam:Sorex araneus cont1.486601, whole genome shotgun sequence.
CUGUGCCUCCUGAUUGCUGAGUGUUCACCUGGAUCAUCUGACUACCUUCCUUGUGCUGUUCCAUCAGCCUACAGUUCUGGUACCUGGACUUUUGCCCGUGGUGACUACUACCACCUUACUACUGAAGAAGACAUCUUUCCAGUGGACCACUGUGAACCAAGAGGCAUUCAGCCAUCGUGAUGUGGCCUUCAUCUCCACUCCUGUCCUACCCAGAUUGAGCACAGCCCUUUA